AUCCAUCUGACGAGUCCCAAAUAAAACGAAAUGCAUGUCCUGGAU
rfam:Schistosoma rodhaini strain Burundi genome assembly, scaffold: SROB_scaffold0002155